rnacentral:rRNA from 1 species
GGGUCAGUAGGUUGGUCGUGCCACCGGUACGUACUGGUCUCACUGAUUCCUCUUUCCUGAAGAACCGUAAUGGCAUUAAUUUGGUGUUGCGGGGAAACAGGACUGUUACUUUGAGAAAAUUAGAGUGUUUAAAGCAAGCUAACGCUUGAAUACAUUAGCAUGGAAUAAUGAAAUAGGACGAUCGAUCCUAUUUUGUUGGUUUCUAGGAUUGACGUA